AGAGUUUGAUCCUGGCUCAGAUUGAACGCUGGCGGCAGGCCUAACACAUGCAAGUCGAACGGUAACAUUUCUAGCUUGCUAGAAGAUGACGAGUGGCGGACGGGUGAGUAAUGCUUGGGAACUUGCCUUUGCGAGGGGGAUAACAGUUGGAAACGACUGCUAAUACCGCAUAAUGUCUUCGGACCAAACGGGGCUUCGGCUCCGGCGCAAAGAGAGGCCCAAGUGAGAUUAGCUAGUUGGUAAGGUAACGGCUUACCAAGGCGACGAUCUCUAGCUGUUCUGAGAGGAAGAUCAGCCACACUGGGACUGAGACACGGCCCAGACUCCUACGGGAGGCAGCAGUGGGGAAUAUUGCACAAUGGGGGAAACCCUGAUGCAGCCAUGCCGCGUGUGUGAAGAAGGCCUUCGGGUUGUAAAGCACUUUCAGUUGUGAGGAAAAGUUAGUAGUUAAUACCUGCUAGCCGUGACGUUAACAACAGAAGAAGCACC
rnacentral:rRNA from 1 species